rnacentral:rRNA from 1 species
UGAGGAACAUGACCUUCGGCGGGGGAUAGCCGGCCCAACGGCCGGGUAAUACCGCGUACGACCACAUGGGGACAUCCCUGAGUGGUGAAAGCAGCAAUGCGCCGAUGGAGUGCCUCGCGGCCUAUUAGCUAGUUGGUGGGGUAAUGGCUCACCAAGGCGACGACGGGUAGCUGGUCUGAGAGGAUGGCCAGCCACAUUGGGACUGAGACACGGCCCAGACUCCUAGGGAGG